UACAGAGGGUGCAAGCGUUAAUCGGAAUUACUGGGCGUAAAGCGUGCGUAGACGGUUAUGUAAGUCAGGUGUGAAAGCCCCGGGCUCAACCUGGGAAUGCCAUUUGAGACUGCAUAGCUAGAGUACGGGAGAGGGAAGCGGAAUUUCAGGUGUAGCGGUGAAAUGCGUAGAUAUCUGAAGGAACACCAGUGGCGAAAGCGGCUUCCUGGUCCCGUACCGACGUUCAGGCACGAAAGCGUGGGGAGCAAACAGG
rnacentral:rRNA from 1 species